rnacentral:rRNA from 1 species
AUGAAGCUGGAAUCGCUAGUAAUCGCGGAUCAGAAUGCCGCGGUGAAUACGUUCCCGGGUCUUGUACACACCGCCCGUCACACCAUGGGAGUCGGAAAUGCCCGAAGUCUGUGACCCAACCGUAAGGAGGGAGCAGCCGAAGGCAGGUCGGAUGACUGGGGUGAAGUCGUAACAAGGUACC